AGAGUUUGAUCCUGGCUCAGAACGAACGCUGGCGGCGUGCUUAACACAUGCAAGUCGAACGCGAACGGGUUCUUCGGAACCUUAGUAGAGUGGCGCACGGGUGGCGCACGGGUGAGUAACGCGUAAGUAAUCUACCCUGACAUCUGGAAUAACUCACCGAAAGGUGUGCUAAUACCGGAUACGCUGAGUAAUCAGGAAAGGUGGCCUCUUCAUGAAAGCUACCGUGUCGGGAGGAGCUUGCGUACCAUUAGCUUGUUGGUGGGGUAAAGGCCUACCAAAGCGACGAUGGGUAGCCGGCCUGAGAGGGUGACCGGCCACACUGGAACUGAGAUACGGUCCAGACUCCUACGGGAGGCAGCAGUGGGGAAUCUUCCGCAAUGGGCGAAAGCCUGACGGAGCAACGCCGCGUGAGUGAUGAAGGCCUUCGGGUCGUAAAGCUCUGUCAGUGGGGAAGAACCGCCGGGUGGUUAAUACCUGCCUGGUUUGACGGUACCACCGAAGGAAGCACCGGCUAACUCCGUGCCAGCAGCCGCGGUAAUACGGAGGGUGCAAGCGUUGUUCGGAAUUACUGGGCGUAAAGCGCGCGUAGGCGGUUUGUUAAGUCAGAUGUGAAAGCCCAUGGCUCAACCAUGGACGUGCAUUUGAAACUGGCAGACUUGAGUAUUGGAGGGGGUGGUGGAAUUCCCGGUGUAGAGGUGAAAUUCGUAGAUAUCGGGAGGAAUACCGGUGGCGAAGGCGACCACCUGGCCAAAUACUGACGCUGAGGUGCGAAAGCGUGGGGAGCAAACAGGAUUAGAUACCCUGGUAGUCCACGCCGUAAACGAUGAGAACUAGGUGUUGGGGGUAUCGACCCCCUCGGUGCCACAGCUAACGCAAUAAGCACUCCGCCUGGGGAGUACGGUCGCAAGACUGAAACUCAAAGGAAUUGACGGGGGCCCGCACAAGCGGUGGAGUAUGUGGUUUAAUUCGACGCAACGCGAAGAACCUUACCAAGGCUUGACAUCCCGUGACAGCCAUGUUGAAACAUGGUCUUUCGCCUUCGGGUGAACACGGAGACAGGUGGUGCAUGGUUGUCGUCAGCUCGUGUCGUGAGAUGUUGGGUUAAGUCCCGCAACGAGCGCAACCCUUGUCCUUAGUUGCCAGCACGUAAUGGUGGGCACUCUAGGGAGACUGCCGGUGACAAACCGGAGGAAGGUGGGGAUGACGUCAAGUCCUCAUGGCCUUUAUGACCAGGGCUACACACGUACUACAAUGGUCGGUACAAAGGGCGGCGAGCUCGCGAGAGUCAGCUAAUCCCAUAAAACCGGUCUCAGUCCGGAUCGGAGUCUGCAACUCGACUCCGUGAAGUUGGAAUCGCUAGUAAUCGUGGAUCAGCAUGCCACGGUGAAUACGUUCCCGGGCCUUGUACACACCGCCCGU
rnacentral:rRNA from 1 species